UCGAACGGUAACAUAAAGAAGCUUGCUUCUUUGAUGACGAGUGGCGGACGGGUGAGUAAUGCUUGGGAAUCUAGCUUAUGGAGGGGGAUAACUACGGGAAACUGUAGCUAAUACCGCGUAGUAUCGAGAGAUGAAAAUGUGGGACCUUCGGGCCACAUGCCAUAGGAUGAGCCCAAGUGGGAUUAGGUAGUUGGUGAGGUAAAGGCUCACCAAGCCGACGAUCUCUAGCUGGUCUGAGAGGAUGACCAGCCACACUGGGACUGAGACACGGCCCAGACUCCUACGGGAGGCAGCAGUGGGGAAUAUUGCGCAAUGGGGGCAACCCUGACGCAGCCAUGCCGCGUGAAUGAAGAAGGCCUUCGGGUUGUAAAGUUCUUUCGGUAGCGAGGAAGGCAUUUAGUUUAAUAAACUAGGUGAUUGACGUUAACUACAGAAGGAGCACCGGCUAACUCCGUGCCAGCAGCCGCGGUAAUACGGAGGGUGCGAGCGUUAAUCGGAAUAACUGGGCGUAAAGGGCACGCAGGCGGUGACUUAAGUGAGGUGUGAAAGCCCCGGGCUUAACCUGGGAAUUGCAUUUCAUACUGGGUCGCUAGAGUACUUUAGGGAGGGGUAGAAUUCCACGUGUAGCGGUGAAAUGCGUAGAGAUGUGGAGGAAUACCGAAGGCGAAGGCAGCCCCUUGGGAAUGUACUGACGCUCAUGUGCGAAAGCGUGGGGAGCAAACAGGAUU
rnacentral:rRNA from 1 species